UGGUUCCAUUCCUUGUCUAUUCCGGUUUUAAGAUGAAGUAUGUUAUAAAACUUUAAAGUCUAUCUUUUUAACCAAGUUGGUCGUUCUUUUUAUUGCUUAUUUAUUUAUUUAUUUAUUUUUGCCAUGUAUUUGUGUAAUUAAGAGGUUGUACGUGUCAUUUUAAAACUUUAAAUGAAUUGUUGUUCAAUUAAAAUGAUAAG
rnacentral:lncRNA from 1 species